rnacentral:tRNA from 1 species
GGGCCUGUGGUGUAGCGGUUAACAUGCCUGCCUGUCACGCAGGAGAUCGCGGGUUCGAUCCGUCAGGCCCG